AGAGUUUGAUCCUGGCUCAGGAUAAACGCUGGCGGCGCACAUAAGACAUGCAAGUCGAACGAACUUAACCAUUAGUUUACUAUUGGAGCGGUUAGUGGCGGACUGGUGAGUAACACGUAAGCAACCUGCCUAUCAGAGGGGAACAACAGUUAGAAAUGACUGCUAAUACCGCAUAUGCCUUAGAAUCACAUGGUUCAAAAGGGAAAGGAGCAAUCCGCUGAUAGAUGGGCUUGCGUCUGAUUAGCUAGUUGGUGGGGUAAUGGCCUACCAAGGCAACGAUCAGUAGCCGAACUGAGAGGUUGAACGGCCACAUUGGGACUGAGAUACGGCCCAGACUCCUACGGGAGGCAGCAGUCGGGAAUAUUGCGCAAUGGAGGAAACUCUGACGCAGUGACGCCGCGUGCAGGAAGAAGGUUUCGGAUUGUAAACUGCUUUAGACAG
rnacentral:rRNA from 1 species